UUCAGGAGGUAAAACUCACCGAAAGUGUGGAGGGUCAUCCUGUGACUGAAUCCCUUGGAGUUUUUAUUUAUCAGACCUGUCCACCCUGAGCCUUCAGCAGUUUGUCAGUUGCAGUUCACGUUCCCCUAUCCCAGUAUUUGGUUCCCAUUAGUUUCUGCUCGGGCUGCCUUGGACUAAGAAGCUUCCGCCUGUGCCACACCAGCCGAGAUUGCCUGAGGAAUUGAGUCAGCGUCUUCCUGGAUGGUGCUGAAAGGCUGGAUUCCUAGAAGACAGGAAUUUAUGGUGUGAGAGCUCCAGCCCCCGCAAACCCACAGCCAAGGUCAACAGCACGAGGCGGGCAGCGCUGCCAAGCAAGGAGGGGAGCCCAGAAAACCAAAGUACAUGCAUUUAAAAAAUUCUCUUCUCUCCCUCACGUUCCCAAAAGGGGGGCUCAAGAAAGGUCUCCCAGCCUGGCCCAGAUGAACCCCUCACAGAGACAGAGCCUGUGAAGCUGCCGGGGAGGGGGUUUCUUGGGCCCCUGGAGGGUUUGAAAGUAGCCCCAUUGCUGGGUCCCAAGCAUGGCAGUGACCAUCUGGUCUUAGGGGGUGGUAGCGAGCUACCCUUGGUGCCCUCUCCUUCUGGUCAACCAAGGGCAGCUGAGGUGCCCUAAGCCCUGUCACAGAGGCCCCUGAGGUGGAAGCCUGAUUCACAGUCUCCCCUCUGCCAUCUUGGGUCUUGGGUCUUGACUGCCUGCCCAACAGUAAACACCCAGUGCCUGGGGCCAGGGCUCCCUGUCACAGGCUGUGGCCCUGGACUCUGACAACACAGGACAGGCUUGUUCCAGCCCCCUGUGGUAGCCAAGCGGAGGUGAGGAGAGGCCUGGAGACCACCUUGAUUCGAACCCCAAUGACUUAUGCUGGCAAGGCAGCCCCCCCCCCCCCCAUAGCCGUGAGCCCCUAAGAGUUUAAAUAUCCAUGUGUCACCCUCACACCUGCCACUCAUGGAGCCCCCUGGCAGGGCCAGGACCUGAGAAAGAAUAGGGUAGCGUCUUGCCCCAGAGUCACGCCUCCAAGUGGGGGUGAAGGGAAGGCUGGCAUGGAAAUGGGGGGUGACCAGCACGUGAGGGGCUGUGGGUCCCCCCCCAGGAGCGAAUGACCCAGGGCUGGGAGGAACAGCAUCGGUCAGAGAAAUCACGAAGGAGGCAGCCAGAGUUCACCAGGCGGACACAGAAUAGGAGAGGGGCUUAGAGGGAACAUUCCAGCCAAGUCUGCAGCAUGUGCAAAGG